rnacentral:rRNA from 1 species
GACGAACGCUGGCGGCGUGCCUAAUACAUGCCAGUAGAACGCUGAAGGCGGAGCUUGCUUCUCUGGAUGAGUUGCGAACGGGUGAGUAACGCGUAGGUAACCUGCCUGGUAGCGGGGGAUAACUAUUGGAAACGAUAGCUAAUACCGCAUAAUAUUGACUAUUGCAUGAUAGUGAGUUGAAAGGUGCAACUGCACCACUACCAGAUGGACCUGCGGUGUAUUAGGUAGUUGGUGGGGUAACGGCUCACCAAGGCGACUAUACAGAGCCGCCCGGAGAGGGGGGUCGGCCAAACUGGGACUGAGACACGGCCCAGAGUCCUACGGGAGGCAGCAGUAGGGAAUCUUGGGGAAUGGGCGGAAGUCUGAGCGAGAAACGCCGCGUGAGUGAAGAAGGUUUUCGGAUCGUAAAGCUCUGUUGUAAGGGAAGAACGAGCGUGAGAGUGGAAAGCUCACACUGUGACGGUAUCUUACAAGAAAGGGACGGCUAACUACGUG